GGAGUACCCAGAGAGAUGGACAUCCCAGAGCAGGACGUGUUCCUAAAGAGAUAGCUGAGGACCACAAUACAAGUUUUGUCAGCAAUUAGACUGAUUAGGCAUAUAAACAAAAUGAUGGAGCUGAUGCCAGGUAGUGGGAUCUAUAACGUAUAUCCUAAAGAUAUUCGAGUUCUAAGCAGAAAAACAAGUGGAAUGGGAAUGGCACGUUAUCUCAUGUCGGCGUUUUACACAAAUGAGGAACUGGUCAGGAGGGGAAAUCUAACUGGUUCUAAUGGCAAGGAAGGCAUUGACAAGACGAUUCUAAAGACUAUUCUUGGUAAGAGAUAUAAAUUUAAUUAAUAAAUUGUUUAUAUGACAUUAAUGACAAAUUGUUUUAACUUUGAAUAUUCUAAGAAUAAUCAGUCACCCACAUUUCUUUCAAUUUGUGAAGAAGUACAAGGUGAAAACAAAAAACUUGUAAUUUUCAAACAUAUACAAUAUAUCUCCUCAAAAUGUAAAAUAUCCAUCUUUUAAAUUGGAGAAUCAGUCAGAUGAUUACUAGUAUUUUUUUUAAAAAGAAUAUGCUGUCAUUAAGGGACAAGAUUCAGAGGCGAAUGCCAAGUUCUCAAUGAGGACAAAGAUAAGUUCUUUAGUGAGCCUGCAGAACAGGAAACAGACGUGACUUAUUCAUUGAAUAAUGUGAUAUGGGACUCCCUUCAUAAGGGAUUAUGUAAUUUUUAUUGUGAUAGUAUGUACAAAGAGUUAAUGAUAGAUAUUUUAUUUAUUCAUUCAAAAAUAUUUUUGUGCCAAACUUUAUAAAUAAAAUUAUACCAACAGUAGUAGCUGUUGAUAAUCUGUUAUGUUUUAUUAUCCCUGUAUUUAUUUUACAUUUUGCUAGGUAUAACUGUUGCUAACUUUUUUGUAACUUUUUGUUAGAUGUAACUUUUGACGGGUAUACCAUUUUUGUAACAUUGUUCCAGCUGUUGAUAUGAGUAUAACUUUUUUGUAACUUUUUGUUAGGUGUAACUUUUGACAGGUAUAACAUUUUUGAUAUGAGUAUAACUUAAGUAUAACUUUUGCACUUGCUGUAUUUAUGUUGAAAUAAAAGAUGAUAACUUAUACACGAGUAUAACUUUUUUGUAACUUAGUUAUAAGUAAAGUAUAACUUUUUUUGAAGAAGUGGUUCCAAACUCCCAAUAACUUUUUUUGUAACUUUUCUUAGUUACAAAAGUUAUAAUUUAGUUAUAACUUUUCUUCGGUAUGGGUCAGUACAAUAUAAACAAUUUUAUUAUAUGAUUGAACAAUUCCUAGCUCUCUAAUUGGCCGAGAUCCAACAAUGUAGAAAUCAUACUACGUUAUGUUUACCUGCACGUGACCUUCCAGGUGAAUAUAAGGAAGUAUUUUUUCCACAUAGGACCAAAAAUAGGUCGUUGAAACUUGCAAUUAAAGCAAAGAACAAUAUUGAAGGUUUUUUUUAAAAAUUAUUUAAUCAUAUAAUAAAACAAUUAUUGCUGUUUUUAAGGUCAAUACAAUGAUUUAGCCACCUUCGAAGGUGUACUUCGGGCUCGGUGAAUAUUGUACUCCUCAGGUGUCUAAAUCAUCGUAUUGACCUAAAAAACAGCAAUAAUUGUAUAUUGUUGUACAGUGUUCUUUAGAGAAACACGAUAUAUCUAACAAACUGAGUAUGCAAUACUGGUCAUACCAGAGUCAAGUACAAAAUCAACACAAUUCAUUUGUUGAGACAUGUAUUUUUCAGAGCAAUGGCUACUGACAGGGCAAUACUGUGAUUUAUUAGUGAGGUAUUUAUCUGAAGAUACAACAUAUAUUACUACUACCGACAGGGCAAUAAUGUGAUUUAUAGUGAGGUAUUAAUCUGAAGAUACAACAUAUAUUACUGCUCAUGAAAAUUGUCAUUCACAAAAAGUGAUCAAAAGUGAUCAAUCUUGGAAUACCUAUAAAGGACAAAUUGAGAGUACGACAAACACAGAUCCCCAGAAACACAAGAGGCAGGACCAGGCACCCAGGAGGAGUAAGCAUCCCCA